rnacentral:rRNA from 1 species
UAACCUGCCCAAGAGAUCGGGAUAACACCUGGAAACAGAUGCUAAUACCGGAUAACAACAGAUGAUGCCUAUCAACUGUUUAAAAGAUGGUUCUGCUAUCACUCUUGGAUGGACCUGCGGUGCAUUAGCUAGUUGGUAGGGUAACGGCCUACCAAGGCGAUGAUGCAUAGCCGAGUUGAGAGACUGAUCGGCCACAUUGGGACUGAGACACGGCCCAAAACUCCUACGGGAGGCAGCAGCG